rnacentral:lncRNA from 1 species
CAGGAGAAAGUUAUGCUACAGGACCCAGCUGAGAAAGCCUUCUAGAACCUCUCUUUGUAACCAGAAAGUCAAAGUGUCACCAGAGAAGAGUUCCCAGCCCCCUAACCCCAGUUCCUCUGACCUGAUGGAAAGAAGCUGACAGUGCUGCUGGGCAAAUCAAGGUUCUCCAGUAUCUUUGUGCUUCGGUAAGUUUUCCUCAAGAACUAGGCUUGUUUGACUGUACACAUUUGUCUCGAUUCCAGCGCCCUGGACAUUUUGUGUCUUUUCUGCCUGAACAAUCACAGAGAGCCUAAGAGAGGCCCAGGCCCUCCAAAUGGACAUUUUCCCCUCAGCAUAUUUUCUAGAAGACUUGUAGUU